rnacentral:rRNA from 1 species
GCUCGAUGAGUAGGGCGGGACACGUGGUAUCCUGUCUGAAUAUGGGGGGACCAUCCUCCAAGGCUAAAUACUCCUGACUGACCGAUAGUGAACCAGUACCGUGAGGGAAAGGCGAAAAGAACCCCGGCGAGGGGAGUGAAAAAGAACCUGAAACCGUGUACGUACAAGCAGUGGGAGCCUCUUUAUGGGGUGACUGCGUACCUUUUGUAUAAUGGGUCAGCGACUUAUAUUCUGUAGCAAGGUUAACCGAAUAGGGGAGCCGAAGGGAAACCGAGUCUUAACUGGGCGUUAAGUUGCAGGGUAUAGACCCGAAACCCGGUGAUCUAGCCAUGGGCAGGUUGAAGGUUGGGUAACACUAACUGGAGGACCGAACCGACUAAUGUUGAAAAAUUAGCGGAUGACUUGUGGCUGGGGGUGAAAGGCCAAUCAAACCGGGAGAUAGCUGGUUCUCCCCGAAAGCUAUUUAGGUAGCGCCUCGUGAAUUCAUCUCCGGGGGUAGAGCACUGUUUCGGCAAGGGGGUCAUCCCGACUUACCAACCCGAUGCAAACUGCGAAUACCGGAGAAUGUUAUCACGGGAGACACACGGCGGGUGCUAACGUCCGUCGUGAAGAGGGAAACAACCCAGACCGCCAGCUAAGGUCCCAAAGUCAUGGUUAAGUGGGAAACGAUGUGGGAAGGCCCAGACAGCCAGGAUGUUGGCUUAGAAGCAGCCAUCAUUUAAAGAAAGCGUAAUAGCUCACUGGUCGAGUCGGCCUGCGCGGAAGAUGUAACGGGGCUAAACCAUGCACCGAAGCUGCGGCAGCGACACUAUGUGUUGUUGGGUA